GGUCUAGUGGUGAGGCCAUUAGCUGGCUCUCACUCUCUUCUGUUAGGGGAGAUAUGCAGGAACCCUUAACUCCAAGAGGCAGAAGAGCCUGGGUGGAUGUGAGAGGAAGGGGGAUCAGAGGGAGAGGAAGCAGGAAGGUUACUGCUAAGUUCUGACUCAAGGGAAGCAGUUUCAGGCAGAGUUAAGGAAGUCAAAGGUUUCUUUCUAGGUAGAGAAGCCCAGUUCAUCAGCCUAUGAAAGAACACUGGAAUUUAGAACACAAACUCCUUCUAGGGUGUAAUGAUUGUACACUGGUUAGUGUUACUUAGUACUGUAUUUCUAAGGAAACCGAGCUUGCUGAUGGGACAGAAGAGGGAGACAAUUUUCAACGUCAUUUUCCUCUAACUGUAUGGUCUCUCUCACAGGUAUACAAGGACCCCAGAACCUUAACACAAUUCUGAGGUGGAAGAAAUGGGGAACACCAGGCCUGGCCUCAUGGAGACCGGGGAGUCAGAACCUGAGCACAGGAACCAGCUACAGAAUUUGCAAGUGGAGAAUCCAGGUACCUUUAAAAGUCUAUUCAGUGAAAAUCUCUGGCUAUUGAUGUGACGGUUAAUUUUAUGUGCCAACUUGGCUAGGCCAUGGUACCCAGUUUUUCAUAAAAGAUCAGUCUAGAUGUUGUGAAGGUAUAUUUUUAAAUGUGAUUAACAUUUUAUUCAGUGGACUUCAAGUAAAGCAGAUUAUCCUCCAUAUAGUGGGUGGGCCUUCUCCAAUCAGGCCUUAAGAGCAAAGACCAUGGUUUCUCAAAGAAAGAAUUUUCCUCAAGACUGCAACAUAGAGACCUUGCCUGAGUUUCCAGCCUGAUACCCUGAAGAAUUUGGACUCAAGACUGCAAUAUCAGCUCUUUCCUGAAUUUCUAGCCUGCUGGCCUGCCCUACAGAUUUUAGAUCUCCCAGCCCCAUUGCAUGAGCUAAUUCCUUAAAAUAAAUAAAUCUCUGUGUGUGUAUGUGUGCUGUAACUAAUAUAUCCUAUUGGUCUGUUUCUCCGGAGAACCCUAACUAACACAAUUGUCUACCAUAUUACUGCAUAAAAGACUUAUGACUCACCUUUACUACAUUUCA
rnacentral:lncRNA from 1 species